rnacentral:rRNA from 1 species
CUACGGGAUGCUCCAGUGAGGAAUUUUGCGCAAUGGGGGAAACCCUGACGCAGCAACGCCGCGUGAGUGAUGAAGGCUUUCGGGUCGUAAAGCUCUGUCAAGUGGGAAGAACAUACAUAAGGCCAAUACCUUUAUGUACUGACGGUACCACUGAAGGAAGCACCGGCUAACUCCGUGCCAGCAGCCGCGGUAAUACGGGGGGUGCAAGCGUUAUUCGGAAUCAUUGGGCGUAAAGAGCACGUAGGCGGUUAUCUAAGUCAGAUGUGAAAGCCCGGGGCUUAACCCCGGAAGUGCAUUUGAUACUGGGAAACUUGAGUAUGGGAGAGGGAAGUGGAAUUCCUGGUGUAGAGGUGAGAUUCGUAGAUAUCAGGAGGAACACCGGUGGCGAAGGCGACUUCCUGGACCAAUACUGACGCUGAGGUGCGAAGGCGUGGGGAGCAAACAGGAUUAGAUACCCUCGUAGUC